UACCAGCACCCCGAGUGGUCGGGACGAUUAUUGGGCCUAAAGCAUCCGUAGCCGGUUCUUUAAGUCCUCCGUUAAAUCCAUCUGCUUAACAGAUGGGCUGCGGAGGAUACUAUAGAGCUAGGAGGCGGGAGAGGCAAGCGGUACUCAGUGGGUAGGGGUAAAUCCGUUGAUCCAUUGAAGACCACCAGUGGCGAAGGCGGCUUGCCAGAACGCGCUCGACGGUGAGGGAUGAAAGCUGGGGGAGCAAACCGGAUUAGAUACCCGGGUAGUCCCAGCUGUAAACGAUGCAGACUCGGUGAUGAAUAGGCUUAGUGCCUAUUCAGUGCCGCAGGGAAGCCGUUAAGCUGCCGCCUGGGGAUACGGUCGCAAGACUGAAACUUAAAGGAAUUGGCGGGGAGCACCACAAGGGGUGAAGCCUGCGGUUC
rnacentral:rRNA from 1 species